GCCGGGUGGAGAGGAACCAGGCUCUGAGGGGUGGACCAGUCCUCUUUCUGGUUGUGCCGGGUGGAGAGGAACCAGGCUCUGAGGGGUGGACCAGUCCUCUUUCUGGUUGUGCCGGGUGGAGAGGAACCAGGCUCUGAGGGGUGGACCAGUCCUCUUUCUGGUUGUGCCGGGUGGAGAGGAACCAGGCUCUGAGGGGUGGACCAGUCCUCAGAGAUUGGUGAUUAUAAGGAGUAUACGGCCAUUAAGGCCAGAUGGUUCUUCAAGAUGUUCAGACGAUCAUAGAUGACCAGCAGGGUGAGAUAAUAAUCACAGUGGUUAUAGAUCAGGGCUCUCCAAUAGGUGGAUGGACAUCUACCAGCAGCUCACAGCCCACCUAUGAGUAGCUCACCAUGUAGUUGGGCUCCUGAGUGGCGCAGCGAUCUAAGGCACAGAAUCUCAGUGCAAGAGGUGUUCACUACAGACCCUGGUUCGAUUCUAGGCUGUAUCACAACUGGCCAUGAUUGGGGAGUCCCAAAUUUGGUCACAUACGCAUGGUUAGCAGAUGUUAUUGCAGGUGUAGUGAAAUGCUUGUGCUUCUAGUUCCAACAGUGCAGUAAUAUCUUACAAUUUCACAACAUACCCAAUACACACACAUCUAAGUAAAGGACUGGAAUUAAGAAUAUAUAAAUAUAUGGUUGAGAAAUGUCAGAGCGGCAGAGACAGAAAGACUUUCCCCAUUUACCUGGUCAAUUAAAUGUUAACUGUAAAGUAGGCUUACCUGACAGAAAAGUCAUGAUUAUUUACAUCAAUUACGUGGUCAAUUAAAUGUUAACUGUAAAGUAGGCUUACCUGACAGAACGGUCAUGAUUAUUUACAUCAAUUACCUGGUCAAUUAAAUGUUAACUGUAAAGUAGGCUUACCUGACAGAACGGUCAUGAUUAUUUACAUCAAUUACGUGGUCAAUUAAAUGUUAACUGUGAAGUAGGCUUACCUGACACAACGGUCAUGAUUAUUUACAUCAAUUACCUGGUCAAUUAAAUGUUAACUGUAAAGUAGGCUUACCUGACACAACGGUCAUGAUUAUUUACAUCAAUUGGAUGGCCAUUGUUUUACAAACUCUACCAUGACGCGAGCUGCAGUCGUCCUGACAGAAGCAUCACUACAGCGACACAUCUCUCUCUGGCUCGAUGCGCAAUUAAAAGGGAAUUACACUCAAAAAAUCUAAAAUCGUUAUGUUUAGGUCUGAAGGUCUUCUGAUGUGAUUUAAGCAUAGACGUGGACUCAGAACAUUCAGUUGCUGUUUCUCUAUGAACAGUUGUACUAUUGAGAGUUAAAAACGGAGUCAAAACCA
ensembl:lncRNA